UGCAGAAUUAAUUAAUGGUUAAAUUAGUUCUGAUCGAUUAACUAUUAAUGUUCUCUUGAACCUUCUUUUAGUGUUGUAGUUUGGCAGCCAUCCAGCAGAGGGCGCAGCUGGUCAUCCUGAAGCGGAGCCGUUGAUACAAGUUUAAAGAUGGCGGCCAAACAAGGACGGGAAAGAAAAACGGUCCCAACAGAUUACAGUUUUCCCCAGCGCAACGUAAAGAGCGACAUGUGACAGUUACCACGGACACGGGGAAGCAGACGGUGACCAUGACAACGUGGUGCAGGACCAUGAGGAACUCGCGACGCAGGAAGAUGCAAUGAUGUAGCCAGCUGAAGAAGCCAUGACUGCCUGAACUGAUGAUACCAACCUGAGUGCGAGAACGGAAAAACAAAAAAUAAAUCAGAAAAGCUGUUUAUUUCCCCCCUAUUUCUUUAUGUUGUAACCAGGGUUGUAAUAGUUUAGAUCACAUGUCAAACUCGAGGCCCAGGGGCCAAAUCUGGCCCGCCGUAGGUUUUUAUCUGGCCCUCAAAACUCCAGGUUACGUCGGUAAGUCUCCAGUUCUUCACAAAUUUG